UACGGGGGGUGCGAGCGUUGUCCGGAAUCACUGGGCGUAAAGAGCGCGUAGGCGGCUUGGUAAGUCGGAUGUGAAAUCCCGGGGCUCAACCCCGUGACUGCACCCGAAACUGCCCGGCUAGAGGUAGGUAGGGGAGAUCGGAAUUCCUGGUGUAGCGGUGAAAUGCGCAGAUAUCAGGAGGAACACCGGUGGCGAAGGCGGAUCUCUGGGCCUUACCUGACGCUCAGGCGCGAAAGCUAGGGGAGCGAACAGG
rnacentral:rRNA from 1 species